rnacentral:rRNA from 1 species
ACUGCUCAGUAACACGUCGAUAACUUGCCCUACGGUCGGGAAUAACCUCGGGAAACUGAGGGUAAUGCCCGAUAGAGAAUUCGGCCUGGAAUGGUGAUUUCUCCAAACACGUGCCGUAGGAUAGGUCGGCGGCUGAUUAGGCUGUUGGUGGGGUAACGGCCCACCAAACCUAAGAUCAGUACGGGCCUUGAGAGAGGUAGCCCGGAGAGGGACACUGAGAUACGGGUCCCAGCCCCACGGGGUGCAGCAGGCGCGAAACCUUUACAAUGCACGAAAGUGUGAUAGGGGGAUACUCAGUGCUUACGAUUAUGUCGUAGGCUUUUGUCAAUCGUAAAUAGAUCGGCGAAUAAGUGGUGGGUAAGACUGGUGCCAGCCGCCGCGGUAACCCCAGCGCCACAAGUGGUCAUCACGAUUAUUGGGCCUAAAGCGUUCGUAGCCGGUUUGGUAAAUCUCUUGUGAAAUUGUUCGGCUUAACCGGACAGCGUGCAGGAGAGACUGCCAGACUCGAGACCGGGAGGCGUAAGAAGUAUGGCAUGGGGACUGGUAAAAUGGGAUAAUCCAUGCUAGACUACCGAUGGCGAAGGCAUCUUACGAGAACGGAUCUGACGGUGAGGAACGAAAGCCAGGGGAGCGAACCGGAUUAGAUACCCGAGUAGUCCUGGCCGUAAACGCUGUGAGCUAGGUGCUGCGUAUCUCAAGAAGAUGCGCGGUGUCGAAAUGAAGAUGCUAAGCUCACCGCCUGGGAAGUACGGUCGCAAGACUGUUACUUUAAGGAAUUGGCGGGGGAGCA